UUUGCAUAACCAAAAGCGGAGGAAAAGAAACCAACAGGGAUUGCCUCAGUAACGGCGAGUGAAGCGGCAAAAGCUCAAAUUUGAAAUCUAGCACUUUCAGUGUUCGAGUUGUAAUUUGAAGAAGGUAACUUUGGUUUUGGCUCUUGUCUAUGUUCCUUGGAACAGGACGUCACAGAGGGUGAGAAUCCCGUGCGAUGAGAUGCCCAAUUCCAUGUAAAGUGCUUUCGAAGAGUCGAGUUGUUUGGGAAUGCAGCUCUAAGUGGGUGGUAAAUUCCAUCUAAAGCUAAAUAUUGGCGAGAGACCGAUAGCGAACAAGUACAGUGAUGGAAAGAUGAAAAGAACUUUGAAAAGAGAGUGAAAAAGUACGUGAAAUUGUUGAAAGGGAAGGGCUUGAGAUCAGACUUGGUAUUUUGCGUUCCCUUCCUUUUUGGUUGGGUUCCUCGCAGUUUACUGGGCCAGCAUCGGUUUGGAUGGUAGGAUAAUGACAUUGGAAUGUAGCUUUACUUCGGUGAAGUGUUAUAGACUUUGUUGAUACUGCCU
rnacentral:rRNA from 1 species